CGGAAGUUCCUGAUUUCACGCUGUCAAGAAAAGCCUCUAGGAAGAGUAGUACUGCCCGUACCGCAAACCGACACAGGUAGAUGAGGAGAGAAUCCUAAGGUGAGCGAGAGAACUCUCGUUAAGGAACUCGGCAAAAUGACCCCGUAACUUCGGGAGAAGGGGUGCUCUAUUAGGGUGCAAGCCCGAGAGAGCCGCAGUGAAUAGGCCCAGGCGACUGUUUAGCAAAAACACAGGUCUCUGCAAAACCGUAAGGUGACGUAUAGGGGCUGACGCCUGCCCGGUGCUGGAAGGUUAAGAGGAGUGCUUAGCUUCGGCGAAGGUACGAAUUGAAGCCCCAGUAAACGGCGGCCGUAACUAUAACGGUCCUAAGGUAGCGAAAUUCCUUGUCGGGUAAGUUCCGACCCGCACGAAAGGCGCAACGAUCUGGGCACUGUCUCAACGAGAGACUCGGUGAAAUUAUAGUACCUGUGAAGAUGCAGGUUACCCGCGACAGGACGGAAAGACCCCGUGGAGCUUUACUGCAACCUGAUAUGGAAUGUUUGUACCGCUUGUACAGGAUAGGUAGGAGCCGAAGAGACGUGUGCGCUAGCAUACGAGGAGGCAAUGGUGGGAUACUACCCUGGCUGUAUGACCAUUCUAACCCGCCACGCUUAGCGCGUGGGGAGACAGUGUCAGGUGGGCAGUUUGACUGGGGCGGUCGCCUCCUAAAGAGUAACGGAGGCGCCCAAAGGUUCCC
rnacentral:rRNA from 1 species